AUUGAACGCUGGCGGCAGGCCUAACACAUGCAAGUCGAGCGAGCGGCGGACGGGUGAGUAAUGUAUGGGGAUCUGCCUGAUGGAGGGGGAUAACUACUGGAAACGGUAGCUAAUACCGCAUACCAUCAGAUGAACCCAUAUGGGAUUAGCUUGUAGGUGGGGUAACGGCUCACCUAGGCGACGAUCCCUAGCUGGUCUGAGAGGAUGAUCGGCCACACUGGGACUGAGACACGGCCCAGACUCCGACGGGAGGCAGCAGUGGGGAAUAUUGCACAAUGGGGGCAAGGCUGAUGCAGCCAUGCCGCGUGUAUGAAGAAGGCCUGAGGGUUUUAAAGUACUUUCGGCGGGGAGGCGUGACCCGCAGAAGAAGCACCGGCUAACUCCGUGCCAGCAGCCGCGGUAAUAC
rnacentral:rRNA from 1 species